UUCGAAACUAAACCAUUUCGUUGCCCCCUACACGGCCAACCAUAAAACCUUAUUUAUUCUGAUAUGUUCCAGAUGACAACAACACUCUGUCUGCACCUCCAACAACCAGUAAAGCAGAGGUCCCCGAAAAAACCGAUGCUCCCGUGAAUCAUCAACUUCAAACAACGAACGGGUUUGCUCUACUGAGAAGUUUCUCAACCUCAUUUUUUGGAUUGUGUUGCGUGUUUCUGGCCACGGGUUUCCCUUUAUGAUGUAGCACAGCGCACUGCUUUGGCCUCGUAUGAGAAUAAUCUCCUUUAAGCUGAAAACAAUUUUUAAAAAAUGAAUUUCAAAAUACACCAAAAAAAAAUUAUAAAACGAAGUUAAAAAAAAAUUCUAUGUUGCGAUUGUAUAGGAACGAGUUAGGUUACUGUUGUUAUUAAGAUGGAUCAUAAUGCCAUUUAGUCGGAGAUUCUCGGACUGAGAGACGAUGAUUAAAUGGGAUGAGAUAGUGAAAUGUAAAGGAGAUGACAUGAAGAGAAUUACGGAA